CAGGUUUACCUGUGUGACUGCGUACCUUUUGUAUAAUGGGUCAGCGACUUAUAUUCUGUAGCAAGGUUAACCGAAUAGGGGAGCCGGAGGGAAACCGAGUCUUAAUUGGGCGUUAAGUUGCAGGGUAUAGACCCGAAACCCGGUGAUCUAGCCAUGGGCAGGUUGAAGGUUGGGUAACACUAACUGGAGGACCGAACCGACUAAUGUUGAAAAAUUAGCGGAUGACCUGUGGCUGGGGGUGAAAGGCCAAUCAAACCGGGAGAUAGCUGGUUCUCCCCGAAAGCUAUUUAGGUAGCGCCUCGUGAAUUCAUCUCCGGGGGUAGAGCACUGUUUCGGCUAGGGGGCCAUCCCGGCUUACCAACCCGAUGCAAACUGCGAAUACCGGAGAAUGUUAUCACGGGAGACACACGGCGGGUGCUAACGUCCGUCGUGAAGAGGGAAACAACCCAGACCGCCAGCUAAGGUCCCAAAGUCAUGGUUAAGUGGGAAACGAUGUGGGAAGGCCCAGACAGCCAGGAUGUUGGCUUAGAAGCAGCCAUCAUUUAAAGAAAGCGUAAUAGCUCACUGGUCGAGUCGGCCUGCGCGGAAGAUGUAACGGGGCUAAACCAUGCACCGAAGCUGCGGCAGCGACACUCAGGUGUUGUUGGGUAGGGGAGCGUU
rnacentral:rRNA from 1 species